rnacentral:lncRNA from 1 species
GUACUUCUCGUCUCCUGCGCUGCCCAUCUCCAAAGGGUCAAGAGGGUUCUCAAAUCGACCACGGAGGCGGUGGGGGUAGACGCAGAUGAGGAGGUGGAGGAGAGGAGGAGGAGGGAUGGAGUGAUUUUUCCUUGGAUUGGAUGAUUGUCGAGGACAGAUUGGGCAAGAUAUAUGCCAUCCCAGGAGUUCCCGAGUAAGUAGCAAUUUGUGUUCUUCUUCUAUUUGGCAGAAUUUGUGUUUUUCUUUAGAGACUAUAAUACCCUUGAUAUUUGGUCGCGCGUCUCACGAGAUGAUGCUUCCUGUCAAUUUUAACUGGUGGAUUUGACAGAAGGGCAAAAAAUAUGCUAUUUUAUUAAAUCGAGGGCCAAACUUUUACCGUUAAUUGUUGGAGGGUUAAAACUUUAUUUGGGAAAGAGUUGGAGGGCCAUUGGGUCUCUUUUCCCAAUUUUCUAUUUAAACAUUUAUGAAGAAAGCAAAAAAUUCAAAAUGGGGAGAGGUACAAGUCAACCAUUCAGGAGGGUAAAGUGUUUUGUAGCUUUCGGAUAUGAGUAAUAUAAUCACCUAGAGAAGGUAAUCAACUUGGGAUUUAAGGACAAGCAGCCCAUACAUCCAAAUUAUAAUGAGUGGCUAGAAAUUGUCCAAAACUGAGGAAGAAGUUAGGGAUUGUAAUGCUCCCAUUUUCCUCUAUGAACAUUAAUUUAGUUGUCACGGAUAAGCUCGCCAUCAGUAGGGAUUUAAAAUCCCUUCUGGACUAUAUAUCGAGGAUGCGAAUCUUGCAUUUUUGAAUCUCAAAAAAAUCUAGAGGAUGUGCUGAUACGCCUGACACAUUCUUUGGUUUAAAAUGAGCUUUCUCUCUAAUUUUUUAUACAAUCUAGUUGGCAUCCCUUUAGUAUAUGAUAGUAUAUAUGUUUCAAUUAAUUUGAGGAAAAAAAAUCAUAUUUUACAUCCUUUAAGUUUUUAUUCAAAUAAUGUCAUAAAAAAUCCCGAUAUUCCGGUGACAGAUUUAAUUCAGAACCUAGCUGAGGCUAUUAACUUUAACCAAAAUAACCAAUCUACCCAUAUUGCAUCAUGCAUACAUGCAUUCUUCACGUGCAAGAGACAUAGAAUAACUAAAUUUAUCAUUUCAGUUCUCCUUUUGUUAAUUCUUUAGCAAUAUAGAAUAUACACUGUUUAUGUGUGAACGACGACUUUAACAAUUGUGAUAAGCACAUUCAUACUUUCACAUCCUACUAGUUUUGUGAGAUUACGUAUGGUUGCCCAGAUUUUGAUCUAAAACUACUGCUAUAUAAUGGGCAAUGUGUUACUGCGGCAAGUAGGCCACCAAAGCCAAACGCUCCACCACCAGCCAAGGGUGAUCCUGCACACUAGUCUGUUGCUUAAGCAGCUUAACGAGGAAUGGCCCUGGCCCUAUCUAUCCUUGUCAACUUGUAGGUAUUUGUAGACAAUGGAAUUUUAAUUCAUUUUUAAAAAAUUACCAUUGGUCUAUAAAUUAUUUCAAUGAUUUAUUUAUAUUCAAUUGG